GGUUUAAACCAUUUUUAAAAAGGCGUCAAACAUCACUCUCGCCCGAAAUAGUAGUGUAACGUUACAACAUAAAAAAGGAAAUACCGGUAUAAGUAAUGAUUAUAAGAUUUCUUAGUAAGUUGGGUACCUUGAGCUUACAUUCAGUGACUGUGUACACUCAUUAUUACGGUACAAUUUGUGCUUUUACGUAGAAAAACCCCAACAAAUAUGGUAUGAUUGCCAAUGAAACAACUAUUCACCAGAGUUUAAAAGUGGAUGUAAGCAAUUGUCAUUAUUCAACAAUGAGAUACCGUAUAGCCGGCAAUCGAAGGCUCCGAAGCGAAUAAUGUGAAGUUUAAACAAGACAAGAAAACUGACGGCUUAAAUUAUAACAAAACUAUUCUACUAAAACAAAUACGACAGACACGAAGCAAACGAGCACGUCGAAGUCCAUUGACGAAAGAGGGACGAGAUACCACAGGAACAGACAAACUCAUAAUCGAAAAUAAACUGACAACGCCAUGGCUAAAAAUGAAAAAGACCGCUUGAAACUGAAAAAUAAUAGUACACAAGAAACAACAUAGAAAACUUAAGACUGAGCAACACGAACCCUACAAAAACUAGGGGUGAUCUCAGGUGCUCCGGGAGGGUAGGCAGAUCCUGCUCCACAUGCAUCACCCAUCACCCGUCGUUUUCUCAUAAAAAAAAC
rnacentral:lncRNA from 1 species